rnacentral:sRNA from 1 species
UUCCUACUUUUAUUUUAAAAGGUGGCGUUUGAUCGAUACUAUCGAAUUUGCCAGUUGGGAAGACAAUUUACAGCCAAUAAGGCCAGACUUCUGUGUGUCGGAGCCGUGGUGCUAGGUCUUGUGUGUUCCUGGCCAACUUUCAUUUUAUUUGGAAGGAAGACUGUGAUCCGAAACCUCAAUGGCCAUGUCCUGAAGGGCACCGACUGUACCACUGAUGACUCCAUGAGAAAAACAGUCUACCCGACCAUCUACUACGUCUUUCUAUUCUCCUUGUUCGGCGUCACCAUCAUGUUCUUUGCUGUUCUCUACUCCAAAAUUGGGCUGACGAUCCUGGGCAGGAAGCGGGUCCACAUGGGCUCCGUGACUUCCAGUACGUCCUCCAACAAAGCUCUUCUCAGGGCGGGCUCCCGCAAAGAGAACGUUCCAGAAGCAACAAGCUCCGAU